rnacentral:sRNA from 1 species
GCCAGGCAUGGUGGUGGGUGCCUGUAAUCCCAGCUACUCAGGAGGCUGAGGCAGGAGAAUCGCUUGAGCCCGGGAGGUGGAGGUUGCAGUGAGCCAAGAUCGCACCACUGCACUCCAACCUGGGCGACAGAGUGAGACCCCGUCUCAA